rnacentral:misc_RNA from 1 species
UCGCGGCUUAUCACCGGCAGUCUCCCAUGAGUCCCCAACUUAAUGCUGGCAACAUGGAACAGGGGUUGCGCUCGUUACGGGACUUAACCCAACAUCUCACGACACGAGCUGACGACAGCCAUGCACCACCUGUGAUGGUGUCCCGAAGGAAAGGUGUGUUUCCACACCGGUCACCAACAUGUCAAGCCCAGGUAAGGUUCUUCGCGUUGCGUCGAAUUAAACCACAUGCUCCGCUGCUUGUGCGGGUCCCCGUCAAUUCCCUUGAGUUUUAAUCUUGCGACCGUACUCCCCAGGCGGGGCACUUAAUGCGUUAGCUGCGGCACCCAGGGGGUCAAUACCCCGGACACCUAGUGCCCAUCGUUUACAGCGUGGACUAC